rnacentral:rRNA from 1 species
UACGGAGGGUGCGAGCGUUGUCCGGAAUCACUGGGCGUAAAGGGCGCGUAGGCGGCCUGAUAAGUAGGGGGUGAAAUCCUGCGGCUUAACCGCAGGGCUGCCUUCUAAACUGUUAGGCUAGAGCACGGUAGAGGCAGAUGGAAUUCCCGGUGUAGCGGUGGAAUGCGUAGAGAUCGGGAAGAACAUCAGUGGCGAAGGCGGUCUGCUGGGCCGUUGCUGACGCUGAGGCGCGACAGCGUGGGGAGCAAACAGGA